AUCAGAGUUGUGAUCAUUGGCUCAGGCAUGAACGCUGAGCGGCAGGCCUUAAUACAUGCAAGUCGCAACGAGAUUAAGGAGGUCUUGCUCGCUUAUGAAAGUGGCGCACCGGGUGCGUAACGCGUAUGCAACCUACCUUAAUCAGGAUGGGAUAGCCCGGAAGAAAUUCGGAUUACACACCGCAUAAAAACACAGAGCAGCAUUGCUCAAUGUUCAAAUAUUUAUAGGAUUAAGAUGGGCAUGCCGUGUCAUUAGCUAGUUGGCGGGGUAACGGCCCACCAAGGCGACGAUGACUAGGGGAUCUGAGAGGAUGACCCCCCACACUGGUACUGAGACACGGACCAGACUCCUACGGGAGGCAGCAGUAAGGAAUAUUGGUCAAUGGAGGGAACUCUGAACCAGCCAUGCCGCGUGCAGGAAGACGGCCCUCUGGGUUGUAAACUGCUUUUAUUCGGGAAUAAACCACAUUACGAGUAAUGUGCUGAAUGUACCGAAGGAGUAAGGAUCGGCUAAGUGCCAGCAGCCGCGGUAAUACGGAAUCCAAGCGUUAUCCGGAUUGAUUGGGUAGACUGGGUGCGUAGGCCGCUUAUUAAGUCAGGGGUGAAAGACGGUGGCUCAACCAUCGCAGUGCACUUGAUACUGAUGAGCUUGAAUGGACUAGAGCUAGGCGGAAUGUGACAAGUAGCGGUGAAAUGCAUAGAUAUGUCACAGAACACCGAUUGCGAAGGCAGCUUACUAUGGGCAUAUUGACGCUGAGGCACGAAAGCGUGUAGAUCAAACAGGAUUAGAUACCCCUGGUAGUCCACGCGACUAAACGAUGAAUACUCGCUGUUAGCGAUAUACAGUUAGCGUGUAAGCGAAAGCGUUAAGUAUUCCACCUGAGCGAGUACGCGUAACAAGCAUGAAACUCAAAGGAAUUGACGCUCGCCCGCACAAGCGGAGGAGCAUGUGGUUUAAUGCGAUGAUACGCGAGGAACCUUACGGCCUUGAAAGUUAGUGAAUGAUCUAGAGAUAGGUCAGUGAGCAAUCACACGAAACUAGGGUGCUGCAUGGCUGUCGUCAUACUCGUGCCGUGAGGUGUUGGGUUAAGUCCAGCGCAAUCCCCUAUGUUUAGUUGCCAGCACGUUAAGGUGGCGGACUCUAAACAGACUGCCUGUGCAAACAGAGAGGAGGGACGACGUCAAGUCAUCAUGGCCCUUACGUCCGGGGCUACACACGUGCUACAAUGGAUGGUACAGAUCAGCAAGCUGGCAACAGCAGAGCGAAUCUCAAAAAGCCAUUCACAGUUCGGAUAGAGGUCUGCAACUCGACCUCUUGAAGUUGGAUUCGCUAGUAAUCGCGUAUCAGCAAUGACGCGGUGAAUACGUUCAUGGCCUUGUACACACCGCCCGUCAAGCCAUGGAAGUUGGGGGUACCUAAAGUAUGUAACCGCAAGGAGCGUCCUAGGGUAAAACCGAUAACUGCAUCUAAGUCGUAACAAGGUAACCGGUAACG
rnacentral:rRNA from 1 species